UACGGAGGGAGCAAGCGUUGUUCGGAAUUACUGGGCGUAAAGGGCGCGCAGGCGGCCGGCUAAGUCCGAUGUGAAAGCCCCCGGCUCAACCGGGGAAGUGCAUUGGAUACUGGUCGGCUCGAGUACAGGAGGGGAGAGCGGAAUUCCCGGUGUAGCGGUGAAAUGCAUAGAUAUCGGGAGGAACAUCGGUGGCGAAGGCGGCUCUCUGGACUGUUACUGACGCUGAGGCGCGAAAGCGUGGGGAGCGAACGGG
rnacentral:misc_RNA from 1 species